ensembl:lncRNA
UUUUUUAUUUUUUAGACAGGUGGAAUCAGAUGGUUGCCAGAGGAUCGGGACGUGGAGGAGGGAGGCAGAGGAAGGGGGCUGGGGUAAAAAAUACCAGUUAUAAAAUAUUCAUGAGGAGGUAAUGUAUAGCACAGAAAAUAUCAUAAAUUUUAUAAUAAUUUUGUAUGGUAACAAAUGGUAACUAGACUUAUCAUGUUGACCACUUCAAAGGGUUUUAUAUAUAAAUACUGAACAGCUCUGACAUACACUUGAAACUAAUAUGAUAUUGUAUGUCAAUUAUACUUCAACUUUUAAAAAAGUAACCUACAGAUUCAGGGUAGAGAGUGUGAUUUUUAAAAUCAAUAUUCAGUUUCACCUUCAGUAAUUCAUGAAAAGAGAACAAACUAUGGAAAAAUAAUUUUAACAGUGAUUGAGAUGAUACAAGUUCCUAUUUUUAAAAAAAAAAAUUCAGUUUUUAAGAACAAAUUAAAAGAUAAAUUCAAGCACUAAGAAAAUGUAUAACAGAUGAUAUGGUAGCACACCCAAAGAGCACUUUGGUUUUUUAACAACAGAAGUAAGUGUUUCAAGCAGUGGAAGAAGAUGUUCUCAAAUAAUGUGAGCUUCCUGAGAGCAGGCACUUUUGAGUCUUUCUUGGUUUACAUCCUAAUAAGCACCUGCAAACCACAUUUCAUGUUGCAAAUGCAAAAGAAAUGCAUGUUGAAUAAAACAAUGUGGGUAAAUUCUGUAAGGUGCCUACUCACAUUGGAAAGAAUUAAACAGAGCAAGCUAAUUUUCCACCCCUACCAGUAUAAACUGAAGAACUUGUAAAGAAAUAUCUUUACAAAUUCUUGAAAAGACAGGGAACUUAAAUUCAAGUAUCUUGAGAUCCUGCUGUAUUAUACUAGGAACUAUAUCUAGUUCACUUAUGAUGGAGCAGGAUAAUGUGAGAAAUAGAAUGUAUAUAUGUAUGUGUGACUAGGUCACCUUGCUGUACAGUAGAAAAUUGACAGAAUCCUGUAAAUCGGCUAUGAUGGGAAAAAAAUCAUUAAAAAAAAAAAAGAUAGGUGGGGAAAAAAAUAAAUAUCUUAUAGAACACCUGAAUUUAGAGAAAGUAUCUUCAUGUCAUAAUACCACUUGUGUCAAAAAACUAAGCAAGGAAACAAGCUUUUAUAUUAGGUUUUUAAAAGAAUAAUCUAAACUAGUGAACAUUUAUUAUUCAGUAUUUUUAGUUCUACAAUAACAGCACAAAUGUUUACUAGACUUGUGCUAGCCAUUUUAACUAAGGGCAACCAGAAGGCGGGAAACUGCACACAGAAUGGUCAGCAGGAGUUCUUUCUACUAGCAGGCUUUACCCAAGGAACAUUAGGGGUCUAAAUCAACUUCCUUUAAAAAUAAAUUUAAAUUGGACACGGUAUUAGUAUGCCUUCCCUUUGGUGAAAACUGUAGCUGGCUCAAAGCCUUUAUCUAUAUAUUUUUUAUCUGAAUAAACAAUGAUAAUUUUGUAUCCUGAGCACAUGGUCUUACCACUGACUGAGAAGGGAGCUCUCUCUUGGUAGCAGUCCUCAUUAGUUCUCCAAUAGUGAUUUCUCCCAUCCUCCUGUCAUCUCAGAUGGACCCUACCACUUGCUCUCUGCUCUCAGCAAACCUGUUCCAUUGAUCAUACUUUCUCUCUCUCUAUCUUCAACUUUUCCUUCAUUCAAUUCAGAAAAUAAAUGGCUAAAAUUACUCCUAGGCUUUCAAUUUUUAAAAAAUGUCCUUUAUCAAAUUUAUACACUUCCUUUACCUUCCAUCUUUAUCUCUUUGCCUCCUAUGCCAAGUCCCACCACCCUGCUUAAAAUAACUAAUCUACACAUACUACAUUCGCUUGCACACCUCCCACUCACCCUUCACUCCAUUGUAAUGGGAUUGCCACCCUACACCAGUCCACUGAAAUCAUUCUUUCCAAAAUUAUAUGGGCGAUUCAUUGAAUUGGACCCUGUGCUAGAUAUGCUGAUCAAUCACCUGCCAAGCGAACUUCUCCUUCUGACUUAAGCCAGUCCACAGCCCUUCAGAAUGAACCUGCUGGGCUACAGCCCAUAGGUUCUGCCAAGUAGACCUAGAUGCUCUCUCUACCAUGAGAUUCUCCCCAAGCAUUCCCCAGCUUAGUCACAACUGAUUAACCAAGAGAAGACAUGUCAUCUAAAGGUAGCCAACCCACAGGAUAGACGAGAAAUUAGUGAUUUGUGUGUACAGGCUCAAAAUAAAAAGGUUGGCUAGGUUCUCUCUUUCCCAAAUCUUCAUUAAGAUCAAAGGAAAUUUGGUAGUUGGUGAGGAGGGAAUGGUCCUGGGAGGACACUGUGGCCAAAUAUGAGAAACCAGAGGGAAAGGUGUUGGCCGAGAACAGAUAACAAAGCAGCUGCUCAGAGGUGGCCCCUGGGAAAGGGGUUGGGGGGAAAGCUUUGGCUCCUGGUGGUUUUCCAGAUCCUAGUGGCCAUGCUUUUGUGGUCCAGUUGUGCCUGGUUUUUGUUCUCAGAUCUACCCGAAAUUCCAUAAGUAUCCUUAAAAUAAGUCCCAAUUGUUAAACCUUGAGUAGAUUUCUUCCUAGCAAAAGAUGCUUUUAAAUCUUUAUUUUAUUUUGCCUCCUUAUCACUUCCUCUUUUCUGAAAGUUUUCCCUGCUGGCUUCUCUGACUGGAUGCUCCUCUGCUUUGUCUCCUGUCUCUCCUUUCUUCCAGUCCUCUGUGAGGGCUCCUCUUCCUCUUCCAAGCCUUUCAAUGUUAAGGGCUGUUGGUCUCAAACCUCUCUCCCCAGGAGCACUUACCCACUUUCAUGUUCUCAACUCCACUCCAGCUGGAAACUUUGGGGACUUUUUUUAUUCUGUCCAACUAACAUGUCUUUUUGGAAACUACAUUUGCAUUUAUUAAAAUAAUCACUCAGUUAUUAAUCAUACGGCUUUACAUUUUUCAUUUCAAAGAGGAGUUUGUAACAUUACAAUGAAUGUCUGUGAACAAGUUCUCAAUGAAGUAGGCCAUUUAUGUAAAAUGACAACUCUGACAAACAUCUAAUAAAGAACCUUUGGUAGAAGAAUCUAGAGCAAAAAUAAAAUAAAAUAAAACUGGAUGAAUCUUCUAUUCAAAUUUGUUCAAAGGGUUUCAGUUACAUGCAGGAAUCUUAUAAUUUCAAUUUUUAUAAAGAAAAGGUUGUAAAUGAAUGUAAUGAUUAGGACUAAAGUCGGCUAUGAGCUAGGAAAAAUCACUUCAUAUAUAAGAUCAAUAUGAUAAGAAGGAUCAGAAAAAUUUAAAGAAGGAGUUUAUAUUGUGGCUCAGGGGGUUAAGAACUCAGCACAGUGUCUGUGAGGAUGUGGAUUUGAUCCCUGGCCUCGCUCAGUGGGUUAAGGAUCCAGCGUUGCCACAAGCUGUGGCGUAGGUCACAGAUGUGGCUCAGAUCUGGCAUUGCCUUGGCUGUGGUAUAGGCUGGCAGCUGCAGCUCUGAUUCAACACCUAGUCCAGGAACUUCUAUAUGCCACGUGCAGCCAUAAAAAGAAAAAAAAAUUUAAGAAAUUUAAGGUCAUAAUAUUCCAUUGUCUUGUUUUAUCGAUGAAGUAAUGGGGAAUCAGAGAAUCCAUGAUUUGCCUAAAGUGACAGAGCUACCUCUUAGCAGACUUGGACAGUCAUUAAGAUCACCUGACCCCUUGCCCAGCAUCCUUGCUGGCACACAAUAUUUAAUCAACUGCUCUCAUCCUAAUCAGGAGCAAAAUGGUAAGAAGACCUAACCAGGAGGGCAUUUAUUCUCUCAAUAGAAUCACCCUCUAUUACACAUUUUCUCCCCAUUAGCCUACUGCAUAUGAGAGACGGGAAGCAGAUGUUCUGAGAGCAGGGGAAUGAGAAAGGCAAACUAACACGUUCUCUUUGAUGAGCUUGGAAAGACUCAAACUGCUCUCUAUAGAGUAGUUAAGACAGCUGCUGAGAUGUAGCAAAGCUUUGAUCCAGAGCAUGAGGUCCCAGAGUCAUGAAAUCAUCCCAGGAAGAGAAAUAGGGUAAGAUUUAAAUCAAAUUUGGUAAUUCAAGUCUGGGUGUGAAAUACAUUAAAAUUAGAAAAGUGGUAACAGAGAAAAGGUGAGUGAAAAAUUAUUUCAUUAGAAAAUUGCUGCAGAGCACUGUAUUUAAAUACAGUGUUUCCCAUGCUCAGUUGUUUUUUUAAGGUGAAUGCAUGUGUGUGUGUAUGUAAGAGUUCAUAUAAACCUCUGUGUAUCUAUGUGUGCAUAUUUACAUCUCACUACUUGAUUGAGAGAGAGAGAGGGAAAAUUACAGCUGGAGUUUGAACAGAGAACCUAAUCUGAACUGAGAAAAAUUAAAAUCCCACAGCUCAAACUCUAGACAUCUACUACUUAGUGACAACAUUUCCAUAUCACAAGCUUAGCUUUUUUAAGGAGUGAAAUGAAUCUUUUUAAAAGCACAUAAAGGAGUUGCCUUCAUGGCUCAGCAGAAAUGAAUCUGACUAGCCAUCCAUGAGGACACAGGUUUGAUCCCCGGCCUUGCUCAGUGGGUUAAGGAUCCAGCAUUGCCAUGAACUGUGGUGUAGGUUGCAGACACAGUUCAGCCCCCACGUUGCUGUGGCUGUUGUGUAGGCCGAGAGCUACAGCUUCACUCGGACCCCUAGCCUGGGAACUUCCAUGUGCCACAGGUGCAGCUCUAAAAAGACAAAAAAUAAAAAAUAAAAGUACAUAAAAUGGUUUAAAGUUACAAAAUACUAUAAAUUUAUAUAUAUGUGCUUAUAUAUACUUACAUGUACAGAUAACAUAAAACUAUAUAUUUCAUCCAUUUUGUGUUAUAUAUAUAUAGUUAUAUAUAUUCACAUACAUACUUCAUAGCAUAUAAUUAUACACCAUAAAUAACUAUAACCACACAUGCACACAAAGUGACAAGAAAACAACAUCUGCAGAUUCUGAUUAAACUUUUCAUAUAUUAUGCCAAGAAAAAACAUGGCCUGACUUCUCGUUGGAGGACAAGAUAACCACAAGCUGAGGAGCCAUUGAACUGCAGCUGUCACUGAAUGGCUACUUUGAAUGCAAAAUUCCAGAAACAUCUCAACUUUCUACUCUGUGCAAUCAGCCCUAUGUCAGGUCAUUUAUAUCCUGAGAUAACCACACCCAGGGCCAAAGUGUUCUCAAUAUGCACACAUUUCAGGAAGUUUGCUGUAACAGGAAAAAUUUUCAAAGGCCAAUAGAAAUGAACCUCUUUCCUUGGAGGGUGUCACUACACGCCAAGUUCACCACAGUCCUUAGCCUCAGGAAAGCAAGACAUUCAUUCUUCUGUUAUAUUUUUAAUGUCUUUACCUCUUGUUGAGGCACUACCCUGUUUAUAAGCUGCAAAAUGUUUGGGAUCAAAUGUCUGCUCCUCAAAUCUGCUACUUUUGGCAGGAUUUUCAGUGAUACCUAAAAGUACUAUUUUAAGUAACUUUAGGAAUUCUCUAGUAAGCUUACAAAAGGCCAUUCCCUUAAAAUUCACUGGACUGCAUUCCCUCAUUUGGUAUACUUUCACUAACACAGACAGAUUUGCCUCUCUUUGGGUCUAACGCAGCCAGGAUAUAAAAUUAUGUUGCAUCUCUUUACUCCGAGACUCCUACUAAAUCACUCUCUAGCAAGCUCUACUUAAUAGUGUAUUAUGUUUAUUGUCUGCCCACCAGCUAAAAAGUAAGCUCCAAGGAGGAAAGAGAUUCGUCUUUGCUGUUUGGCUGAUCCUGACAGUUUAUAACAGUACCUGGCACAAAGUAUAAAUUUAAUUUAUUUGUUGAAUUUAUUAAGUGAAUUAAUUUCCAGCUAUAAAAGUUUAACCUAAAUGCUUUUGCACUUGGCAUGUUGAAACAAGACACUCUUUUUGAAUGGAGAAAUACCUUGCGGGCUUGGAGUGAAAAGUAAAAGGAAAUCAUGAACAUUUCAUCCUACACUAAUGGCACAAAUUACUCCAAAGUAACAUUUCUUUGUGUUCCAAAAUGCAUCAAAUCUGGCUUGAUACCUCCAUAGAAUAAGGUUUUUGAGAAAUCCAACAAAAGUUAUCUCGGAUUACCUCCCUUUCCAAUCUUUCAAAUGAGAAAUCUAGAGCUCAUGGAAUCCAGAAAAAAAUGGGACAGAGGUUGAUAUUCAAUUUUGGUCACUAAGGCUCUCAAUCUGUGAUGAAGGGAAUGACUCCCCCACACUUGAUCUUCACACUAUCUGAAACUAUAAACCCUAAUGUCUUCCCCAGACCUCAAGUACACAUCCAACAUCCCAAUUCCUUUCAUUUUUCUCUAAAGACCUUUCUGUUCCAUAUCUUAAAUAAAUAAAUAAAUAAAUAAAUAAAGUUAUUCAUACCUGCUGUGCUAUUACCCAAUAGUAUUUGACAGCUUGUCCUUAAAAAGGGAUUGACCUCAGCCCUUGGAAAGACAAAAAAUAUCUUAUCCUUCUCAGGAGACAAAUAAAAUCCAGGCUGUAGGACACUCCUGAUGGUGGUAGAGUCAGGGGAUUCACCUAGGAUUGGGUUCAGCUGAUUGUGACUUAAACUGGAAAAUAUCAAUGUUUAUUCUACCUCUCUUAAAAGGAGUUCUGAGAUAGCCCCUUGAGCUCAUACAGAGACUUCUGUCUUAAUGCUCCACCAAUUUUAGCAUGCCACCCCAUGACCUAAGACAACUGCUCAUGCAUUGACCAUAUGAAAGAGGGUAACAGGUAAUGCCAGAUGUCUUAUAAGAUUCCCUAGGGCUUCCAUAAUCUUUCAUCACAUUUCAUUGGUCAGUACAUAGUCACACAUCAGACUAGUUAUGAGGGAUGCUGGAAAGUAUAGUCUUUAUCUCAUAUGAUCACACUAGACACUGGAGAAGGCAACUAUCAGUCUAUACUACGAAGUCACUCUGUUCU